CUCCGUCUCAAAAACAAACAAAUAAAACAUUUGAUGAUGUUUGUUUAUUGUGGUUUAUUCUUUUAAAUGAAUUUCUCUCCAAUCUGUUUUUUAGCUUUCUUGUAAGUAACAGAAUUUGGUAUUUUAUGUUCCAAAUUGUGCACUUGGCCCAGUUGUAGUGGUUAUGAUGAGGUGUGUGUGUGCGUGUGUGUUAACAUUGCAACAACAUAGGUAAGGUUCCUCCUAAAACUUGCUGGCUUGGGACCAGCCUUGAGUAGAGUUUAUGGCUACCUGUAUAAAAUGAAGUUAUUGAAAAUAAAAUGUAUAGAAACAAUUUUUUCUUUUAAAUGUAGGCUACUACACUUGUGGAUGUUUAUUAUUAAUCUUUCCCCCAUAAUGGAAGCAGUGUUUGGCUAUGGGCCAAAAUGAUUAACACAGUGGUACACAGUAAAUUGAAUAUUAGAGAGUCAAAAGCCAGGAAAAGCGUGGAAACAGAACUAUAUUUUGUGGUUCCCAGAGUGGUUUCUGCUUGUGAGUCUACUCUGGUAAGCUACAACUCCCUGUUAUUCACUUGUUUGUCUCUCUAAUUUUGGGGACAACAGUUUGCCCUGUGUCCUCAUCUCUCUUUUGCAUCCAAGAAGAGUUGUUGAUUUUGUACUCCACAUUUUUAUUUGUUGUCCAGACAAGAGUGGUGACCUCCAAGCUCCUUACACACAGAGCUAAAAACUAGAAGUUAGUUUAACUUUUUUCAUUGCCACGUUCAUAUGCUCAUGUUAUAAACAUUCUUACAUUCAGAAGAUAAAAAUAAAGAGAAUACACACUUCCCUUUUUCCAUACAUACACAAUACUUCCUCCCAUGGACUGUUCAUUAAUUCAGACUUCUGAAGUUUUCUUUAAUAUAUAUGCAAAUAUGUGACUAUCCUCUUGCUUUAUCUUGAAAAAUAUUCAUAGAAAAAUUAGUUGUCACAUUAAGAAAUUUUUGAUAAGAAUCCUUCUAAUAGCUAUUAGUUUUAAGUACUACAGAGAAUGACAUUAGAAAUAAUUUAGUUCAACUGUUUCAUUUUACCAUGAUGACACUUGAAUAGCAAAGGGGUUAAAUAUUGGUGCCAGUCAUAAAUGUGGUUAAUAAUGCAAUCCCUGUCUGUUGGCACGCAGGCUGAUGAUUUUCGUAGUUUUCUUCACUUCAUGGACGCAGGCUAUCUCAACCAAUCAGUAAAAUAAAACAUGGGACCCCACAGACUUUCAGGGUCUUAUGAAAAUUUUUUGAAAAUGUAGAUACUGAAAACAGUGUACUUGUGGUGUGUAUUUAUGCCCAUUUCCUAAAUUUUGAUGUUCUCAGAGUUUUAUCUUAUCUUUUUGAAACCAGUGCAAUUUAUCUAAAAUGUAAUGGUUUCUGGAAAUGUUCCUUUUUAAAUACAUUAAGAUAACGAAACCACUCACCAGAUUGAUGAUAGAGAUUAUUCCCAGUAGAAAUAGGGUAGGAGUGGGGGUUAGUAGUGAGUGUGUGUAUUGAAUAAUUAGGGCAUUGAUGAGUCAGUAAAACUGAUCAUUGGAAUCUCGUGAAAUGAAGUUUUUUUUCAGUAAAUUUCCCUAGAUUUAUCAGUCAUUAGAGUAGUAUGCUCAAGAGGUAAUUUAGACUGUUCUGCCUUCAUUAAGCAUUUUUUUUUAAUAGCAAGUGAUCCUUCUUGAAAUGACCUUCUCAGGUGAGGAGAAGAUUGUAGUUAUAGCAUCAUUAACAAUGCUUUUCUCUUCAGAAAAAAAUGUUUUGCAUGCAUGGAAGUUAAAUGUAAUUUUUAAAACAUUCAUCUUGCUCUAGAGGCAAACAGCAGAAAUUAAUUUCUCAUUUUUAUAUAGCUAAAAAUACCACAGAGCAUGGAAAAAUGGAUUUCUUUAACUGAAAGGAAAAAAAUUUGUAUGAGCAUGAAAUACCAAGAUGGUUUGAGAAUUCAUAAAAUGGUCCUGCCUUGAGCAUUAACAUCUUUCUUGGGCCUAGUCUAAUCUAUGAGAUGUGACAUGAUGCCCUUAGGUCAUUGUGAAUUCAUCCUAAUUCUUGAUUAAAAAGAAGAAACUUAUUCUCAUGGGUGCGAUCAUGACUUUUGCAACAAAUGCAACAUUGUCUUUUGCUGUUUAUUCCCUUCAAAAAUCCAGUGUGUUCAUUAAUCAAAACAUACAUAUUCUGAAGAAACCGAUUACACAACCCCCUAAAGGAAAGCCCUUUAAAGAAAUGCAGAGAUCCAAAGUGCCGAAGGACAAAUUGUCACUUCUUUCAAGUAGUACUUUAUGUAUUUCGUGGAUGAUUUCUACACAGACUAGGCCAUAGAAACCAGUGCGUAGAAAUGCUUCUGUUACAUGUUUAGGAUCUAUCUAUGUUUUUUGACGAUGAAUGAGAAAUUCUGGUUUGCUUUCAGAGUGGUACAGCAAUAUCCAUGUGGUCCAGAAAUAAGAUUCCAUGCUAAUUUUCUUGUUAUAAAUUUUGAAUUUUGCGUACUGAGAUUUUUUUGUCUAUGAAUUCUUUUAUAGCACCUGAAUGUUUUCCUUGAAAUGUAUAAAAUUUACACAUUUAGAUUUUCUGCAUUAAAAUGCCAUUGUGCAAGCUUUCUUACAAAAUAAAAAACAGAAAUCUACUAGCCCAUAAAAUGUUUAUCACCCUGACAUGUGUCAAAAGGAUAUAUUUGAUGGCUGUGAACCUGAGGAAGUACAGCAUUUUGCCUGUGCUGUGUCUCAUGUUUCAUCUUUAUUACGAUGAGAUGAGAUGGUUUCAUUUCAGUUAAUCCUAUUUCUUUUAGGACCUACAUCUAUGUUAAUUGUCAUGGCUAAUUAGCCUUACAGUAAAAGUAGGCAAACCAACAAAAGAAAUGCCCUUUCAAAGACAUGCUUUUUGACAAUGCAUUUUACUAUGCAGUAAUGUGGUUGGAAAGCAAAACAGUCUACUAACCAUUAAGUUCUUGUUUUAGAAUAGUCACAUAUUUUGUCAUUACUCAGUUUCUCAAACAUUGUGUAUGUCAUACAAGACAGGUUUUUAUUUGUCAGCAUUUAAUGUUGUUAGAAAAUAACCACAUCACAAGAGUUUACAUGUAAAAUAAAUUCUACUUUAAUAAGACUCUGAAUAAUAAUAAAAUUUAAAAAGCAAGAGUUGAAGUCAGCAUAAACAAUAUUUAGUGGACAAGUUCAUGCCCUGAGUAGCCUUUUCUGGGAUAGACAGUGUUCUUUUUCUUUUGUCCUAUAUUAUAAGGAGCAAAACAUCUGCAUGAAUAAUAAAUUACAUGUAUGUAUGCUGGAGUAAUUAGGACAGCAAUCUCACAAACUGCAUUAGGCUAGUAUUGUCCUUGACCCAGAGUCCUUAUGUGUGUAUGAAAACUUCAGUUGUGUAAGGUACAAUUAGAAAUGAAAGGUUUUUCUUUCUUUUGAGGUGGGAGGUGACAACCACUACAUUUAUUCUUUCUUUAGUUAUUUCUUCAACAUAUUUUUGUUGAGUGCUACCAGGCUAAGGUACAGAGGUGAACAACUCAGAAGCACUUUCUGUCAUCAUGGAGCUUGCAGACUACCAGGGUGAGAAUGGAGGACUAAAGAUAGGCAAAAAUGCAUAAUGCAUCACCUAGAGAACAUAACCCAAAAUGACUGAACCAGCAACUUAACACCGCUGCUAUCUUCAGUUAAGUACAUGCCAAGUAAGAUGAGAAAAGGCCUACAACAUCUCAUGGACAAGCUUUGGAGAGCAAAUAGGUUUUAAACGUGACCAUUCCAUGAAAGUCCCCAUCUAUAACCUCCAAAUGCAAGAGGGAACUAUGAGGUACCACUAUCAUGUCUCACAACACGAACCCAAGAAAUGAAAGCUAAUAAGAAAUCUCCCAAACCUGAGGGAGAACCAGGGAACAAAACUUGCAAGAGCACUAGAGCAGUGGCCUGAAUCCCGAGUUGUCUCUGGGUGCACCUGCCACUAUUGCAAUUCUUACUCUACUUACCAUCAAUUACUUCUGAAGACCAGCUACAUGUCAGGCAUUAUAAACAUAUCAUCUCUUUUAACCUUUAAAGAAUCCAUUUAGGAAAGGAGGAAACUGGGUCUCAGGAAGAUUAAGUGAUUCUCUUAAUGCCACAAAGCUAGUAAAGGAUCGGGCAACCACCGUGUCUCUGUCUCCGUAGAUUAUCAUGUCAUAAUUACCACAGGCUUACUCAGUUGGAGGAAGGAAAAUGGGACAUUAUUAGCAAGAUUUUUUUUUCCAUAGCAUGGUCUUGAAGACCUCUUACUGUGUUUUCUGAAGUGUUUUUCUUUCAAAAAAAAAUUUGUUAAACAAUUACACUUAAACGCAACAGUACAGCUGGCUUACUUUAAUGAAAGAAAAUAUAACAGGAAGUACAUUUUCUUCUCUUAAACUCAGGUAUUUUAAUAGUUGAGUUUUCUAAAAGUAAUUGUUAUACUAGUCUGUAAAAAAGAAUGAGUCAUUUAAGCAGCACAUUUUUUUAAAAAAGGUCGUUAUAAAUGGGCGCACAAUAUCACGUACAAUGAGUUUAUAGUGAACAUUUUUGUGUUCAGGCUGAAAAGGCUUCUUGCAAAGGCAAACAAUUCAGCAUUGACUUCUCUUUAAAUCUGCCUUUGGAGCUAUCACACAAACACUGUGGUGAGAACUCUGUUUCUGUUACUUACCAAGGCUUAAUGAAGCUUACUGCCAGGCACAUUUUGAAUAGAUCUACAUUGUGGCAGCUUCAAAGAAGGAGCCUUUGGUGUUAUAUUUCCUAAAGCUGAUGUUCUUGACCACAACGUGGUCAUUUUUGAGAUAAUGUGAUAAUCUGGCAGGUUCCCCAGGAGGACCAGUUAUUUUACUCAGACUCAUCAUAUUCUUCUCAACGCCUCUGCCUACUCUCUUGAUAUCUUAUAGAUAGAUGAUAACUAUCAUGGUGUAGACGGUUAAUGUAACUUUUCAACUAAUUAUGUGGGUAUUUUCCAGUCUUAGCACAGCAUUUUUUUUAACCUCAAGUUCUUCUUUUGAAGGCUUUGAAUAUGACCUUGAAGUGUCUUGAGAGAAAAAAAGACAGUAAUGCUUAGCUUCUGUUUUGUUUUCUUUUCUCCAAUGAAAAGAAUGGCUUUCAUACUGUAAAUGGUAGAAUAAACAUGACUGAGGGACAUCAAGGCACAAGAGAGAUGGAGCAGUGGUAAGAAAGCACCCACACCUAGAUUGUCAAUAAUGGCUAGUCUGUAAGCACAAGUGGAAGUGGAUUGCAUCUAUGGGUAGUGAAACAACAGUUGAUAUGAUUGGGAAACAAUUUUAGUGGUUUUACAAAGAUCACACAUUGGAGCAGUACAGGAGAUUGUAGAUUGGGUCAGCUUUGAUUCUUCCCAAAGCAGAUUCAGAGAUCAAAAUUUGGGUGCAAGUAGGUUUUUGGGAAGUGAUCCCAGAAAGCACAAGGUGGGAAUGAAGAAAUGAGCCUGGAAGGGAGGAAAGCAAAUGAAGCUGCAUCAAUUAGUGAAUUAUUCCUAUUGGAAGUUUGGCUCAUUUCAUCUAAGGUCCUUCUGAGAGACUAUAGAAUAUGUCUCAAAAUUGUCUCACAGAGGGAGAGUCAGCAGGGGUGCCUAUUGACCAAACUGAAUUCCUCAUUAGGAUGCCCUGGGAAAAAUCCUGGCCUGCUGACGUGUCUAGCAGGCUCCCUUGUGUCAGAGAAUGCCCUCUGGCAGAUAUGACAGAAGCGUGUGCAGGGACUAGGCAGUGACCUUCAGGGAAGGCUGAGGUGAUAUGGGUGGGGGUUCUGACUGCACCUGCCACAGAGUAAUAAAAGUGAACCUAAUUUUCAGAUAUGGAGAAAAUGUAAACUGUAGAACCUUUAUAUUCACGAAGUGAAUUUUAAUUUCCAGAAAAAAAGCCUAUUUUUUAAAUGUUAGGAAGAAAGCAAUCAACGAGUACACACAUACCAAAAAAAUGUCAAUAUAGCCUCAUUUAAGAAAAACACAUUAUUAGAGUUGUUUAUCAGAAACUUUGAUUUUAGAAGCACAUGUAAUCAACAUUUUUUCUAUAUCUUGUAGAUUAAAUGAAUGAAGCUGCAGAUAGGCAAAUUUAUAGGUAAUUGCUCAACAGGAUCUAGCAUGUUGAUGAAUGAUUACUUGUCAUUCAAAUUAAGUGUGUCUAGUCCUUUAAAGCCAAUUCAUUUUCUUUUGAAAAAUAUGAAAAUAUCUCAUACCCUUGCAUGGAUUUUGAUGUGUUACUUUAGUGGGGCCAUGUCUUCCCUCUUGGCUAUGAGUGUCUGUGGCCCACACGAAGGUUUAUAAUAGUAUCCUCAAAAGCUCUGUCCUGUCCUGUUUAUUUUUAUAAACGCUAUGGAUGAAGACAGGGAAGGCAAGUCUGUAAAUUUUCCAUCAGGGAUAAAUAGCUACUGUGGUAGGUGACACAGAUGGGUUCAGUAAAGCUCUCAACAGCCUGGAAUGAUUAACUGAAAUUAAUGAUUGGUUUUAUUAGGGUAGAAAUAUAAGCUCUUGCAUAUAGGUUAAAAAAAUAUGCCAGCUUUGAGACGAGGAGUACUUGGUUUACAAUAGUGUAUAAAGAAAAAUCUAGGGCUUUUAGUUCAUUGCAAGCUUAAAACAAGCCAAUUUAUUUAAGGGGCCAGAAACCCUAAAGCAAUUUCAGACUGAAGAUGUAAAAUCAUAUGUCCAGAACAACGAGGUUCUACUCUAUGUCUUACUAUUCAAUUGUAUUUAGUGGAUUGUGCUCCAUCCUGAAAGAUUAGCAUUUUAAGAAUCAGUGAGAAUAUUAGAGACCAUUUAGAUUCAUGCUUCUUUGCCUGGGUGCAUGUGCUCAUGGUAGUAUGCAAGGUAUGCCAGGUGUACCAGGAGACAUAGGAUAAAUAUGUCAAAACUUCCAUGAACACCGAUUUUGCUUGAGUAUUCAAGGAGGGAAAGCGGAUUAAAGUUACUAACAGGUUGAAUAGUUGGAAACUAUUGAAAAACAGUUUCAAAGUUAAAACACAUAUUAUAUUAUAAAGUAGAAUACAAAGACCAUAUAAAGUUCUAUGUUAAAAUAUGAGACUUCUGAAAAAUCUCCACUUGCAGAUGGUAAUUUUGAAAAUUGCUUUCAGAACUCUGGAAAUCAUGGGUUCUGUCUCUUCUGCAGGUACUUUAAUUCAACAAAUAUUUACUGAGUAUCUAGUCAGUGCUAGGCACUGGGCUAAGUGCUUGGGAUAUAUCAGUGAACAAAACUAAUACAGAGUCCUGGCUUCAUGGGAACUCAUAUUAUGAGUAGAAAAGUUCAAGAAGCACACCUUAUCCUUAAUUUUACAGAUGAAAAGGUGAGAAGGCAUAUAGCUAGUCCUAAGUUCUAUUCCUAGUUCAAUUGCUUGCUAACUGUAUAGUCUUGGGCAAUUAUUUCAUUUCUUUAAGACUCAGGUUUCUCAUCUGCACAGUAGUAGAGCAAGACCUAUCUAUUUCAUUAAUGGGAGUAGUAGAUGAGAUAACAUGGGCAAAGUAUUUAGGGAAGUGCCUGAUACAGAGUACACAUUCAACCGUUCAAUAAAUUAUGAUUAUUGUCAGAGAGGUCCAGUGACUUGCCUAAAUUCACACAGUUGCAGAACAACAGAUUUGUACUAAAACUCAGGUAUUCUGAUUCCCAUUUCUGAGCUCCUUGUAUGACAGUGUAAUCCUGGGUAUCAUACCUCAGAAAAUAAACAAGGCUUAUUUGUACUUUUUUCAUUACUAAAGUAAUUCAUGUGCGUUUGAAAAUUAGGAAAAUGCACAUAUGCAGAAAGUGAAACAAUAAAACAACAAAUGAAAAACAUUCAGCACAACCCUUCACAACAGUUUAAUUAAAAUUUUGGCACAAUCUAUCAGCCCUCUUUUUAAUAUAUAGUUUUGUUUUUAGCAGAGCUAUAUUCUAUCUAUUUGGAUUUCUAUUUUGAUUUUUUUGUACAUUUAUUAUUAAUAUAUAUACUUUCCCUUAUGUAAUAAGGAAGGUUUUUAUUCGUUCAAUAACAGCAUCCCAGUCUGUUGGGAGUAUGACAAUUUUUUAACCACUUUCUCCAUAGUCGACACUUAUGCUGUGCUAAUGAACAUCUGCGUCUGACUAGCUUUAUGGCCGUAUGAGUGCCUGUCUUCCCAACAGGCAAGGCCCAGGCUCUUGCAGAACAUGGUUCUGCCUUAUAUAUUGGUGCUUCAGGAAACUCAGGCCUGAUCCUUUAAUUCACCCUUUAAAACUUGCAUAAUCACUCAUGCUUUUCCCAGGCAAAGAUCUUUCUUUUGGGAUGUGUUUUUUUUUUUUAACCUGAUCCCCCUUUUCUUGGAAGUUUCUCUGGAUAGCCCCUUUGGCUCCCAAAUCACCUCCAUUCUACGAUAUUCUGUCUUGAUCUCCUUUGCUCCUCACUUCACAAUCACAGAUCUAUCGUGUCUAUCCUGGUUCUCUUGCUUCUCACGGGAUCCGUUGGUGGAGUGGCUGAAUGAGUGUUUAAUGUUAAUGUUUUAUAUGUUUGUGUGUAUGUGUGUGUGUGUGUCUGUAUGUACAUUUAUGUGUGCAUGUUGAACUGUAGUUUCAGACUAUAGUCCUGAAAAAUUCUAGAACACUUUGAGCUUUAUGGAUUGUUAGACUAUGCAAGAAAUUAUCUGUGUGAGUUGUGUUUGGGUUAGGUAUUAAAAAUAUAUAUUGCUAGAGGUGUUUGUUGGAGGAAGUUUUAUACAAUGGAAAAACAUGCCCUACCAUGCGGAUACAUACUGUACACAAAAAGAUGAUCAAUCCAGAUCUUCGCUAAUACAAAGAAAAUAUGACCCAUAGCACUUGACUCUGUAGGUCAGAAAUUGAAACAGAUAUUCCCAUAAAACUCUGGAGAAUGAUGAAGGCCUCGGGGAAGCAAGUCUACACUGUUUCUCUUUCCAGUGCUUUCUCGAAUAAGUGUAAAACAUUAGUGAGGCUUCAUCUGAAGGUCAGAAAGUUUACACAGUUGGAGUUAUAUGAGUAUCAGGCUUUCUGAAUUAAGAUUCAGAAUUCAUAUCUAAAAUUUGAGGCUGUGCACUGUUCCACAUGACUGAUUUUUUUUCUGAUACAUAAGAUAUUAUUUUCCAGUAUAAUUAAUGUCAAUCUACUGACAUCAGUGAAAUGCACAUGAAAUUCUAAAUGAAUGUGCCAUUAGAUGUAACUCUUAGUUGUUACCUAAAGUCAGGGAGCAACACCAAAAACAGAAAUAACCUUCCUUUAUACCAGGAACUGUCAAUACAGCAUAUUUUUAACAUGAUGAGCUGUAGAGGGAAAAUAUUCGUGUAUUCUUCAAGAUCAAAUGUUCAUAAAUCUGGAGACCAAGAAUUAUUCACAUUUUGAGUUUUUGUAGAAUUCUGCUAAGUAAGGUAUUAGAGUACUCCAUGAUCACUCAGCAAACUAGUACUGGUAUUGAUUUCUAAUUUUGUCCAAUUUCCUUUAAAACUUUCUCUUUGAUAUUUUUGUAGCUCUAGCACCCUUGAACACAUGAUUGAGGUAGUUUUGGCCUCACAGAUGGAACAGCUUGAUGCUUGCUCAAAAAGUGGACUCUUUAGUAUGGUUAUUUGGAUGAUGGUUUUGAUUCGGAGAGUCAAAAGCCAUGGUAUGUGAGGGGAGUGCAUUCUUCAUGAAGAGAGGCCAUCUUCUGCAUUCUCCUUCCUGUGGCUGAAGAGUGGGGCACUCAACUUGUUGCUUUCUGUCAAGGCUACAAGCCAGGAUACUACACUUAAUUGACAUAUCUUCUUAAACGCCUCUGAUUUGUGACGGUUUCUCAGUCUUUCCUGCUUUUCAUGACCUUGAUGCCUUUGAAGAGAAGUGGUGAGAUGUUUUUCAGAUUUUCUCUCAGUUGUCUCAACUGUGAUUUGUCUGAUGUUUUUCUCAUCAUUAGGCAGGUGUGAUGCGUUUCACAGAACAACACUACAGAGGUUUAGUGCCAUUCUCAUCUUAUUGUAUCAGGAGGUACAUGAUAGCAACAAGAUUCAUUGCUGGUGAUCUUAACCAUAAUUACUUGGUUAAGGCAAUGUUUUCCAGGUUUCUCAAACACCCUGACAACAAAGCCUAUCUUCUUAGCUGUUUAUCUGAGACUUGAAUCUUCUAAUUUCUUACCUUAGGAAUUCUCCAUUUAGUCAUUUAGUAGAAAGUGAGUAAUAUAGAAUUUUCUUCCUAGACAAAUCGUUCUGAUGACAGGAGAGGGAUGGGCUUACUCUCUGUGCUACCUUGGUUUACUGGAAACAUGGUCACUUGAUUCAUUCCUGACUCCUAUCAAUUCCUCCUGUGCCCAAUAAUCCAUUUUGGUUCAUUCUCUGAAGAAAAGAAUGCAAUCAAAAUCUAAUUCUCACAAUAUCACUUGGAUGUCUAAAAAUACUGAGUUAAAGAGAUAGUAGAAUUUGAUUAUAUAAAAAAAUUUGUACACCAAAGUGUUAAUUUCCUUAAUAGAGAACUACUAUAAAUAUUUAAGAAAAAAUGGGCAAAUGGUAUGUUCAGAUAAUUUAUAGCAAAGAAAAUAUAAAUAAUGUCAAAUAUUUAAAAUGAUGCCAGUUUUCUCUUAAUAAGAUAAAUAUAAUCAAAAUUAUCAUGUGAUCACAUUUAAAAAUUAUUGGGGUAGCAAAGACCAGAAUGCUUGAUUACAAACUAUGUUGGCAAUGGUCUGGGAAAACAAACACUUCUCAUUGUUUCUGGGAAGGUAAAUCGGUAAACUCAGUACUGAGAGCAAUUGUACGUUGUCUCUCAUAAAUAGAAAUGCACUUUUUGAAUCCUUCAAGUCCACUUCUACAUUAGAACCUUAAUGUAUAUAAUAAACAGUAUAGAUAUGCCAGCAUAUGCAUAAAGUAAUUUAUGUAUAAGAAUAAUUUUUGUAGCAAGAGAUCAGUUAAAUAAAUUGUUGCAACAGCACAAAAUGAAAAGCUAAGCAGCUUUAUGUGUACCAGUAAGAAAACAUCUCCAGGAUAUUUCUUAAAGUUAAAAAUGAAAACAAAACCAAAAAGGAUAGAAUGGCAUGUAAGAUAGUUUACUGUUCGAAUUGGAAGUUAAGACUACCAUCUGGCCAAUCUGGGCUCCUCAUGCCUCUGAAUCAACAGGAAAAGAAGAGUUACUGUGCUGGGUAGGUUGAUUGAUCUGAAUACCAAGGGGAAAUUUGACUACUGCUCCACAACACUGGUAAGAAAGAGUAGGUCUGGAAUACAGAAGACACCUUAAGAUGUCUCUUAGUUUUACCAUGUCCUGUGAUUAAGGUCAAUGGGAAACUACAACAAUGCAAUCCAGUAAUGACUAUGAAUGACCAAAAUCCUUCAGAAAUGAAAGUUUGGAUCACUCCACGAUAUAAAGAAGCAUGACCAACUGAGGUGCUUGCUGAAGACAAAAGGAAUACAGAAUGGGUGAUGGAAGAAGGGAGUUAUAAAUACCAGUUACAACCACAUGAUCAUUUACAGAAAUGAGGAUUUUAAUUCCCAUGAGUAUUUACUCUUUAUUUUGCUAGGAAUAUAUCAGUAUAUAUAUGCAUAUAUAUGCACAUAUUUAUUUAUAGAGAUGUACUCCUUUCUUUUAUUUCCUUAUUAUGUUACAUUAUUGACUCUCUUUGGUCUCCAGCUUUCUGAUUGCAUAUCUUGGGAUUUGUCAUAAUGAAGCAAACGAAUUCCUUAUAAUAAAUCUGUUUCUAAUAUAUAUAUCCUAUUGGUCUAUAUGUUGGUAUGUAUAUAUAACAAUAGGAUACACACACACACACACACACACACACACACACACACACCCCACAUCUUCUGUUGGCUCUGUUUUGCUGGAGAACCCUAAUACACUUUGGAAAAGUACCAAAGUAACAGAGGUAACACCUACCUCUCAGUGGUUCAGCUUACUCUCUAAAAAAUAAGGGAAUUAAACUGGAACAACUACAUGUUUCCUUUUAACUGUAGCCUUCUGUGUCAUACAGUUAUUUCCCUAUAGAUGGUCUCUCAGUUUCUCUCCUGAGCUUAGGUUCUAUUUUUCACUCUGCUUAUUUUUUAUUUUUCCUAAAGUUACAGUAUGCUCAGUAUGUCCCAAAUUGACCAUGCCUGUUAAGAAAGCCAUUUCCUCUCUUCUGUUAUUUUCUAAGGCACCAGGUUUUCGUUUUUUAGGAAUGACCAAAUUUGAGAUUGUCUCUUCUCUCUGAGAAAGGUAGUACUCUGAUUAUUUGUGAUGGCAAUCAAACAAAUACUGCAUAAGACUAAAGAAAGAAGCAUAUCACAGGGUUUUGCACUCUCUCAUUUCUCUAUGAAGUACAAUACCAAGUAACACAGAACUGCUACAGACCCAGAAUUCUUCAGUUAUCUGAACAGUUCUGGGUUCUAGAGCUGACUUCCACGUCUAGGCAAUGCGGUUUAUAACCAUAGGGUUGCUGCAGCCUUCCAGGCAGGUCUUUGUAGAGACUACUCAUUUGCAUCUCUGCUAAGGAGAAGAAAACCUUUCCAGCCCUUUUUAUUGUUUUAUAUAUAUAUAUAUAAAAAUAGUGAACACAUAUUGGUACCAAAUAGCAAUUUUAUCUUAUCUUGGUAUAUUUGGCUUAUGAAUAGUUGAUAAGGCUUUAUCUUACUGUUGGUUACUUGUUUCCCAUGAGAAGAAAAAGAUUGUUUUAUGAUGCUUUAAGAGGGCUCAUUCCUUUGUGAAGGAUUUCCAGAGAUUCUCCUAUAACAUGUUCCCAGUCUUCAGAUUUGUCUCUUGUUCAACCAUCUUACCAAUUCUGAUGCCAAAUCCAUCAUAGAAAUGAUGUACCUUUGGAAAUGAAUCCAUCCUAUGGAUUCCCUGCAUCCCCACUGCUGCCUUUAUAUGCAGGACUCUCAGCACAUUCUACCAGGAUUCUGCAGCAAAUGCUCAGAACAUCCUCUAGUUCUGAUUUUCCCACUACACAUCCAUGCUUCACACUCAUUAUUCCAAUGAAUUUCCUCUAAGUCUUGCUUUUAUUUUCUGUCACACCUUUGGUGAUAAAUCCUGCCGUGAUUCUAAUGAGAGCUCAACGUCAUUCAACUUUCAAGGAAUGUUUAUAAUCAAUUCUACUUUCCAUACCUGUCAAUAUCUCAUGACUCCACCUAGUCAACCACCAAGCUUCACUAAUUAUACUCCCCAAAUAUAUCUUCUCUCAAUACAAUUUACUCCAUGCAGAAAAGACAUUAUUUAGAUAGAUAUAUUCAUAGAAAGAUAAAUGUAUAAAUAAAAAUAUAUAACUUUAUCAAUAUGCAUAUUUAAUUUCAUAAGUUAAAAUUAUUUGUAUUCAGAUGGACAAUGGUUUGAAAUCUGUUUAUGCCUCCAACUAAGCUGAACAAACAUGGACACAUUAUUUAAUCUUUCUGAGCCUCAAAUAUUUAAUCCUGCUGAAUUAUUUUGAAGAUUAAAUGAUAUAAAAUACUUAAAUUGUCUAUGGUCUGGCAUAUAGUACUUAAUAAAUUAAAGCAUAUUUCUUGAUUUUAGAUUUGAUUUAUUUUCUCUAUUUCCAAGCUGUAGUAGUCUGGGUCCAAUUGGGAGACAGAAACCAGACAGCAGGUUAUAUAAGGGAAGUUAAUGUAAAGAAUUAUUAACUGUGAUAAAAGAGAAACUAUAUAAGGAAACUAUAUAGUAGCCUAGGGCUGAGGAAGAGUGCCUAAGGGAGGACAAACUCAGAAGGGGCGUGUUUCAGACCUUGUUGGGGAAGGUAUAGUUUAGCCCAAUGGAUAGCAGAGGUGUUUACUGGUUAGGCCAGGCCUGAGCAGGUCUAGAGUUCCUGGGCAAGCAGGGUAGGUUAGGUAGGUUAGCACGUGGUGGCAUGGUUUUGCAGUGAGAGUCUGGUGCCAGCCAUGGUAGAAGGCCUGUAGCACAUGCAGCCUGGCAUGAGAGUGGGGUUUUGAAACAGUGCUUGGUGUUUGAUGCUCCAGGUCAGAAGCAGAUGUUGGAAAUCCACUCAGAGAGUCCAGGUGUUGGUGUGGCAGGAGGCCAUCAGAGCAACACCUACAUGUGUGGAGGGUUCUGGUUUCCAUGUCUAGAGGACUGAAGAAAGGUUAUUGAUACGUCUAGGAUGCAACGAGGUCUCAAUGGAAUCAUGUUCUAAGCUGGUGGCUGGGGCACAUUCCACUGGAUGUCUGCACACCCAUACAGCUAAUCUCUUCCUCCUGCAAUGUCUCUCCAGCGCCCUCUACUGAGAAAUCUUAACAUUGUGCUCAUUAAAGUGAAAAGUUUUAAAGGAAUCCUUGAUUUGGUACAGAGCAUAUAGUGAAGGGUGAAUUCAGAAAUAAGAAGCAAUAAAUUGAUAAGUGGCACACAGUCUAUAAUACCAAUUAGCUUGUCUGAUUAAGAUAAAAUUUUCUCCUGUUGUAUUUCGUGUGAAGAAGUUAUAACCUUCUUUUAUAAGGAAUGGGGUUCCCAGCUGAUUAACCAGGAAUAAGCAAUUUUUGCUUCACUUUGUAAUAAUUGAGUCAUGUGACAAUCGCUGAGUCAGCAUUUGAAUAUAGACCCAAGUCUUAUUCAUGGGAGCAUACUUUAAAUGUAUUUAGCAUCAUUUUAUGUAUUGGUUUAUUCCAGAGCAGAAAGAAAUUGUAUUUGCAGGAUUUGACAUCAAAAAUGCAUUUGAAUCAUUUAGAUAGUCUUUUUGUGGGUGGUAAAAAUUUUAAAACUCUUGUUUAUUGAUGUUUUGUCUCUUUCUUAAUCUCUCCUAACAAAUCUAUUGUUCUUCCCUUGUCAAUAAGCAAGCAUGCUCCCAUGGCAGGCUGAAACAUUUCAGGACUUUCCCAUGACCUCAUAUUUCUAUUCCUUUGAGGCACAUGGUCUUAUUUCUUUUUAAGCUUUAGCGAGAACAUCCGGUCCUUUCUUCUCAGAUCUAUUCUGAUUUUUUUACUUUGUAUAUCUGAUCAAGAUGUUUUAUAAAUUUGAACAUGUCCACUGCUCAUUAAAACAGGUCAUCCCAAUCAGUAUAAAAUGUGAUUUUUAGUCUUUUCUUUUUAAAAGUGUAAGAAAUGCUUAUUCCUUAGGAACUUAUUUAAUAGGAGAUAUGAAUACCUUUUUGUUUUUUACUGAACUCAUUUUAACGUGCCUUUGAGUUCAUGUGCAAAUUUGAUUUCGUUAGCCUUGUAGGUGCAAGACUUCCUACUCUCUCACUGUGGAGGAGACACUAGGUUGCUGUGAAGUGAAAGAAUGGGCUUGAAUCCUGGAGCUACACUAGGCUAAUAGUGCUAUUUUCUGUAAACUGAGGGACAGUUUAUGUAUGUGAAAAUACUUUGCACAAUUGUAACAAUUAAAUUGUAAAAAUAUACAGGAAUACUGCAUAAUUAUUUUGAGGGUGGUAGUGAUGAUUCUGAGGGCUAGGAUAUUUACGGAUACAGUGGGGAAGCCCCCUCUUGUUCAACAUUUUCUAGAGAAUGUCCAUGUUAAACUUAUACUUUCUGCUUCCUAGGAAGAAUAUCUCAGACUUUCUCUUAGCUCUUCUCCCCUUGGCUUUUCUGUGCUAUGUCAUUCAUGGCAUUUUUGUGGGAUCUACCUAAAACAGAAAAUACUAUUUUAGAACAGCUGGUUUCUGGGUCAACUUUGGAGACUCAAUUUCAGUAAUUUUCCAAUUUAAUAAAACAGUUGGAAUAUGUUUAUAUUGAUUUUAAAAUGACAAAGCAAAUGAGAAAAGGUAUAAUUUAAUAGAUCCAAGAACUAUUGAUGAGGAAAAUUACUAGUAGCUAGUUCCAACUGCCAUCGAUUGACACUGAAAUGAAGAAAAGAGAUGUACACGUAUUUGUGAACACCCCAUUUUCAUGUCAACCAAAGGAUUAUCAACUUUUCAUCUUCAAAAUAGAUUUCAUAGUAUACUUUUCAUGUGUAACUAUAUAUAAGGUUAAUGGCUCUAUCUUUUGUGAACCACAACCUAUUUGUCCAGCUCCUGCUUUGAGCUUGAUGUUUUAAUCUUCACAAAUAUUUGAGGAAGAUAUAAUUAUGUCCAUAAUUAUAGCAAAGUGCUAGGUGCAGGCUAGCACUUUGUGUACAGUGGCAUAAUUACAAAAAUCACAUCCAGAUCUGUCUUUAACCAUGCUUCUUUUACCCUGCUAUCUUUAAAUAUAAAAAGCAGUGAUUACAAUUGUAAAAUAACAGGAGUAGAAAUAAUAUGUUGUAUUCAGUGGGAAGGAAUUGCCCUUUGUUAAGGCAAUAAUUAUAGGACAGUAAUUCUCUAACUGAAAUAAUAUACAGAUUUUAAGAAAAAACUUAUGAAAUUCCAAUGUUAAUUUAAAUUUUUUAUAACAUUAU